GCCAGUGCCCCACAGUGACGUCUUGUCUCAAAAUAGGACAAAAGAAUAAGACCUUGCUUUCUUUUCUUUGAAAAGGCGUUGAGGACCAAGUACUUCAGUAAUCGUCCAGGGCCAACACCUGGAUGCCAGCUUCCAAGACCAAACUGUCCAGUGGAAGCAUUAAAGGAACAGUCAAAUCCAGCCAUGGCGACAAAACGGAAAAGAGCGGAGGCCUUAGAACAAGGAAUAUUGCCCAAGAAGCUAAUUUUUUAGUUGCAGCGAACAAUGGACAGUUUCACUGCUGAAAGAAAUGAUCCAAAGGCAAAUAACGGAAAAA
rnacentral:lncRNA from 1 species